UACGUAGGGCGCAAGCGUUAUCCGGAAUUAUUGGGCGUAAAGAGCUCGUAGGCGGUUUGUCGCGUCUGCCCGUGAAAGUCCGGGGCUCAACUCCGGGAUCUGCGGUGGGUACGGGCAGACUAGAGUGAUGUAGGGGAGACUGGAAUUCCUGGUGUAGCGGUGAAAUGCGCAGAUAUCAGGAAGAACACCCGUGGCGAAAGGCGGUUCC
rnacentral:rRNA from 1 species